rnacentral:rRNA from 1 species
GUGGGGAAUAUUGGGCAAUGGGGGAAACCCUGACCCAGCAACGCCGCGUGAAGGAAGAAGGCUAUCGGGUUGUAAACUUCUUUUACCAGGGAAAAACACAAUGAUGGUACCUGGAGAAAAAGCUACGGCUAACUACGUGCCAGCAGCCGCGGUAAUACGUAGGUGGCAAGCGUUGUCCGGAAUUACUGGGUGUAAAGGGCGUGUAGGCGGAACUACAAGUCAGGGGUGAAAACUAUGGGCUUAACCCAUAGCCUGCCUUUGAAACUGUAGUCCUUGAGUGCUGGAGAGGCAAUUGGAAUUCCUAGUGUAGCGGUGAAAUGCGUAGAUAUUAGGAGGAACACCAGUGGCGAAGGCGAAUUGCUGGACAGUAACUGACGCUGAGGCGCGAAAGCGUGGGGAGCAAACAGGAUUAGAAACCCCUGUAGUCC